CAACCACAUCAUGUUGAAACACCAGUUCUGGUACGAUCACCUAAGUUAAGCAACGUCGGACCUAGUCAGUACCUAGAUGGAUGUCCGUUUGGGAAUAUCAGGAGCUGUAAG